rnacentral:misc_RNA from 1 species
AACGCAUAUUGCACCUCUCCGGAGGUAUGCCUGUUUGAGAAUCUAUAGUAUCUUUUCUCCAUUGGAGGAGAUUUGGGGCGUCUCUGCCGAGUGCCCUUAAAGCUAUAGCUUGACACUGAACGAGUGCGAGAGCGUAUGUAUUUGAAACUCGCAGAGUACCUGUACGAAACUCUUGCGCAAGCUCGCGCUGGGCCAAGUCCACCACGGAGGUUGAAAAACCCGAACCAUGGUCUCAAAUCAGGUAGGAGGACCCGCUGAACUUAA